CAAAGGAAUUGACGGGGCCGCACAAGCGGUGGAGCAUGUGGUUAAUUCGAAGCAACGCGAAGAACCUUACCAGGUCUUGACAUCCCGAUGCUAUUUCUAGGGAUAGAAAGUUACUUCGGUACAUCGGUGACAGGUGGUGCAUGGUUGUCGUCAGCUCGUGUCGUGAGAUGUUGGGUUAAGUCCCGCAACGAGCGCAACCCCUAUUGUUAGUUGCCAUCAUUCAGUUGGGCACUCUAGCGAGACUGCCGGUAAUAAACCGGAGGAAGUGGGAUGACGUCAAAUCAUCAUGCCCCUUAUGACCUGGGCUACACACGUGCUACAAUGGUUGGUACAACGAGUUGCGAGUCGGUGACGGCGAGCUAAUCUCUUAAAGCCAAUCUCAGUUCGGAUUGUAGGCUGCAACUCGCCUACAUGAAGUCGGAAUCGCUAGUAAUCGCGGAUCAGCACGCCGCGGUGAAUACGUUCCCGGGCCUU
rnacentral:rRNA from 1 species